rnacentral:lncRNA from 8 species
CUAUGGGAAUGUGUGGAGGUCACAGACCGACUUGGUGGACCAGAGGAGACAUGAGGACAGUAGCCGAGUCAACAUUCAGUCAGAAGAAGGGACUAUAAAACCUGUAGAGGAAUCAGGGCUCCCCUUGGAAUGUGUGGAUACACGUCUUGACUCCGACGUAGCUAGGCGAAACACCGAUGUUUUAGAAGACCCGGAGAUGGAUACGUCCCUAGAUAAUGAAGUGUUGGCUGUACUCAGCAAGGAUCUCAAAACUCCCACAGCUUGCCAAGUAGAAACUAAACAGUCACCAACACAUUUUUGACAUGAGCACAAGGGCAUCCUGCUCGGAUUCGUCAGGGGAGCUCCUGGAAAGUGAGCUGGACUCUAUUACCUUGGCAUGGAGGAUGGCUGACUUUCUGGAGGAGGAGGAGGCUGUGUUCUCCGUGAUCCAGGAGAGCUUAAAGAUUGAUGUGGGCCCUCACCUGCCCUUCAAAAAGGCUGCGAAGGAGCGGGCGGAGCAAAGAAUAACCAGUUUUCAACUUAACAAGAUAAGUCUACUCACAAGGUCACCACCCCUUUGUUACAUGAAAUGUAGUAUAUCAUUUAAGGUGCUGAAAGUUAUUUCGUAUCCACUGAUAAAAGUAUUAAUACAAACGGACAUCUUAAUCUGCUGGACUCUAUUGACAUUCAACCUCAUAGGUUCUGUUAAAAGUAUCAAGUGUUAA